UACGUAGGGGGCAAGCGUUGUCCGGAAUCAUUGGGCGUAAAGCGCGUGUAGGCGGUUCGGUAAGUCUGCUGUGAAAGUCCAGGGCUCAACCCUGGGAUGCCGGUGGAUACUGUCGGACUAGAGUACGGAAGAGGCGAGUGGAAUUCCCGGUGUAGCGGUGAAAUGCGCAGAUAUCGGGAGGAACACCAAUUGCGAAGGCAGCUCGCUGGGACGUUACUGACGCUGAGACGCGAAGGCGUGGGGAGCAAACAGG
rnacentral:rRNA from 1 species